CGCUGGCGGCAGGCCUAACACAUGCAAGUUGAGCGGAUGAAGAGAGCUUGCUCCUGAAUUCAGCGGCGGACGGGUGAGUAAUGCCUAGGAAUCUGCCUGGUAGUGGGGGACAACGUUUCGAAAGGAACGCUAAUACCGCAUACGUCCUACGGGAGAAAGCAGGGGACCUUCGGGCCUUGCGCUAUCAGAUGAGCCUAGGUCGGAUUAGCUAGUUGGUGAGGUAAUGGCUCACCAAGGCGACGAUCCGUAACUGGUCUGAGAGGAUGAUCAGUCACACUGGAACUGAGACACGGUCCAGACUCCUACGGGAGGCAGCAGUGGGGAAUAUUGGACAAUGGGCGAAAGCCUGAUCCAGCCAUGCCGCGUGUGUGAAGAAGGUCUUCGGAUUGUAAAGCACUUUAAGUUGGGAGGAAGGGCAUUAACCUAAUACGUUAGUGUUUUGACGUUACCGACAGAAUAGGCACCGGCU
rnacentral:rRNA from 1 species